GACUUCGGGGCGGGGUGAGAUUCCCCACCGGCGGUAAAAGUCCGCGAGCCCGGCUGAUAUUGUUCACAAGGGCAGGAACCGGUGUAAUUCCGGUACCGACAGUAACCGGCAGAUGCCGCAAGUCUGGAUGAGAGAAGGA
rnacentral:ncRNA from 1 species